CAAAUUGCUGGCGUCUUCGGCCAGGAUCUAACCCACAACACUGGGAUCAGUACGCGAAAACAGUGGCAAUUCGCAAAGAGGAAAAGCAAAUGACGCAGAGCGACGUCUUUACGUUACUGUGACAUAACAAAGUACCCAAGGUCCGAGCCGGUCAUCGCAGAGUGCUUAAAAAAAGACGUGGAAGCUACAAAAUGCCUAUCUUAACAAGUGUUACCACACGCAAAAGCAGCAAAACCUGCACUCCGUAUCAAUCUACUCGUAGUCCCUCAUCGCAGCUCAGUGGAGUAGCCAGUAGGGGUUUCGGGGGUUCAAACCCCUGCCCCCAAAUUGUACCUUAGGGAGCAGGAAAGCAAGGGUGAAACCCUCUCACAUCUGUAAAGUUCCCGCAGAACCCCUCCCAAAAUAUUUUUAUGGCUGAGCUACUGUUGCAUCUACAUCAAUUGUUAGGAUCUCAUCCGUGAAACCUGCGACACUACUGCGCUGUACUUAUUAUUCUACCAGAGCGGUCUCACUGGACAAAAGCUGUGCAGUGUAUCAAUUCACAUUUAAGACAACCUUGUGCCAACGUCUAUUUGGAGAGACUUUUCGCCUCCAUGAAGAUCUGAGGAGGCCCACGUGGACCUCUCUCUCCUCGGUCCGUCUACCUAUGCAGCAACUGUUACAGGAGGGCAUUUCCAAUGUGGCCUUUACUACCUGCACAACCAAUUCUCUGCCUCUACCCACCUUUCCAAAUGGCUGUCUCAAACGGAACAUGUUUCACACGUUGUACAAGAGUGCAGGCAAACUGGAAAAUAUAUCACAACUUUAUUCUGUAGAAAAAUUAUGCCGUGCUAUCUAGAAUUAUGCAUGGCUCUAAUAUAGGCCAUGAUUUUUCUUGUUCAAACCGAGGCCGCUCCAAGGAUGUGACCUCGUACUCUGUGGCUCUCAGUUCAGACUCCAGAGUGGGUGCAUCGACUGAAGAACAACUGGAUGUAGUCUCUGAAAUGCUCUCAGGCUGGAGGGAUGGCGGAUCCCCGACACCCAUGGGCUCGACGCUUUCCACACCUUUUGUGUCCAAAGUUGCAGUUGGAGCAGCUGUCGGAGAGACAUCCCGCUUCUCUCUGGCACACAUGGGUCUCACAAAGCGGCUGGUACGCCAUGGAUUCUCUUCCUUUCUUAAAUCUGAAUCACACUCUUCAAAUGUAGACAGGGAAGAGGGUCUUCGCAUUAACCCAAGCAGGUUUAACAGGCUGGGUCCCUCAGGCUCUUCUUCAUCUAAAGCAAAAUUUGAAGUGUUUCAUCACUAAGCCUGAAACAUAAUCUUUCAUACAGAGUGAUCCAAAGAGAAGGUGAACACUACAACAAGAAUCUAAGUCCUGAUGUCGAAAAUCAAAAGUUUAUGAGACAGUUCCUAUAGUGUCAUUACAAACCAAUCUAAGAGGGAAAAUUCAAGACAAAAUUCAAGAGCUAUUAACAAUCAGCUUUCCAAUUAGCUGAAUCAGAUAAAAACACCAGACAGCAGUUUGCUAAUGAAGCUGCUGCAGUGCUCCUGCAUUAUCUAAAUUUUCUCAGAGUACAGUGCCAGUAGCAGUAUUGAAUUAGGCACAUUGUAUCACUGUAAAGCCCUUUAAUUUUGCAGCCCCAAUUUUUCAUGAAUUGGACACGGGGCACAUAUUUGCCGCCACAAAAUUUCUCAAAAGCUUUUUUCUAAUAUUCAUGGCCUGCUUGGCUCACUUGUAAUAUGCCUGAUAUUGCUUACUGGUGGCCUGUACAACCAAAUGUCAAAAUAAAGUUUGCUAUUGCAGCAU